rnacentral:lncRNA from 13 species
AUGAAACUAACUGUCAUUGGUAGGUGGGCGGGACCUUGGGUAUGCGAGCCUGGCAGAGACAUAUGGGGCAGGCUGCUACCAGGCAGGGCAGUGAAGAAAACUAGCAUUCGAGAAGAUGACUUUGAAAAUGGUUCCACAUGUCUUCUGCCUGGCCAAGUACUCCUGUUAACUGUAAAAAGCCAAGAGCAAGCUAUGAAUAAAUGCUGUGAAAAUUUAAAGACAGAAGAGAAGAGAAAGGGGAAAGGAGGGCUUUUGGAAUGGAUCCUUCACUCAGCAACCUCCUGGGUAACAAAGUAGAUGUCAGAGCUUCCGUCUCAUUCCAUACUUCUCUCCCCCAGAUUCUAUCCCAACAGAUGUUUUCAGUACAAAGGUGUUUGCAGUUCUUGACAUUUUGCAGACAUGCCAAGGAGAUUAAUUACAAUAAUUUCUCCUGCAACUGAGAUUAUAUAUAAAAUGAUUCUAGGUCAUCACUUGCAUUCUAGCAAAUGCCAAUUGAACUACUAUAUGAAAAGCCAAUUUAUUAGUU